AUGGUGGUGCUGCAACAGCGACGCCCACAUGGCUGUCAUUCCAAUUUUUGUUGCAACCAGCCCCAAUUUCUGCUACUACCGUCUUUGGAUUUUGCUGGAACCAGCCUAAUUUUUGCUACCAUCUGUCUUUGUUUUGCUGGAACCGGCAUCUCAUUUUGCUUCCACCAUGUUGUGUUUUUGCUGGAACCGACAUUUUCAUCUUUUUUUGCUUCCACCGUGUUGUGUGUUGUGUUUUUGCCUGGAAUCUGUGCCUCACUUUUUGCUUCCAUCGUGUUUUGUUUUUGCUGGAAUGGUACAUGA
rnacentral:rRNA from 1 species